GGAUUCCCCUAGUAAUGGCGAAUGAAGCGGGAACAGCUCAAAUUUGAAAUCUCCGUCGCCUGCGACGGCGAAUUGUAGUUUCGAGAAGCACUUUCUAGGCGAUUCGGGGCCGUCCAAGUUGCUUGGAACAGCACGUCAUAGAGGGUGACAACCCCGUCUGUGGCGGAACCGGGCGCUGACGAUGUGCUUUCGACGAGUCGGGUUGUUUGGGAAUGCAGCCCAAAAUGGGUGGUAAACUCCAUCUAAAGCUAAAUACUGGCACGAGACCGAUAGCGAACAAGUACCGUGAGGGAAAGAUGAAAAGCACUUUGAAAAGAGAGUUAAAAAGUACGUGAAACCGUUAAAAGGGAAACGAAUGAGGUUAGCAAUGCGCUCUGCGAGAUUCAGCCGGUGGCCGGGCUGGGCGAGCGGUUUGCGGAUCUGAAUGGACCGCGGCCGUUCGGGUCGGUCCCUCGACCGUCGCACUUCUCACGAGCGCGCGUCAGUGUCGGUUGGAACUGGGUUUUAAAGUCGCCGGGAAGGUAGGUCAGUCCCUCCGGGGUCAGACUGUUAUAGACCGGUGUUCUUAUGGCUCGGAUCCUACCGAGGUGCCGCGGCGCGUGCCUUUUCUGGCUGGGGUUCCGUCGUUCCGGUCGGUAGUCGACUGUGGUGGACUGCGUGCAGUGCAUCGCGACUGCUGCCGGUCGCUUCGGCGGUGACCUCACACAACGCGCCCAGGACGCUGGCGGUGACAUGGCCUCAUCCGACCCGUCUUGAAACACGGACCAAGGAGUCUAACAUGUGCGCGAGUCUUUGAGUGAUCGAAACUCGCAGGCGGAAUGAAAGUGAAGGUGGCUUCGGCCGCUGAGGUGAGAACCCCUCCUUGCGGGGGGCGCAUCAUCGACCGACCUAUUCUACUCUUAGGAAGGUUUGAGUAAGAGCGCAUCUGUUGGAC
rnacentral:rRNA from 1 species